UCCAGUCACGGUCGGCCGUUGCCGCAGCGGAAGCAGCGACCGCGCCCGCACUGGUCAGAGGAGCACACCCAUGGCAGUCACGUCCACGGUCGAUCGGUCCACCCCUCCAGCGCCAGAGUAGCCUGUAGGCAGUAGCACACACCGCGGCAAUGCCAGCUGAUGGCUGGGAGGUGCGGAGACGCCUGUGCGGACGGGGACCUUACCCACCGACCCGGAACCGGUGGGCGAAAGACGCAGGAGUUUCUCGACCAAGGAAUGAUGAAGAUUGUUGACGGGAUCCCUGGCCUGGGAUGCAAAGAAAAAGCCGCCUGUUCUGCCUCAUAAUAUUGCCGGCCAGUUUCAGUCUUCAUUAGUGCAAGACAGCUAGUAGAGGAUGAUAACCUCUAGUGGAGGAUUGCCUGGACCUUGCCUGGUGUUACUACGUACGUCACUUGACUGUGUGUGACCAUUAACAGUUCGUACACAGGUUGAAGCGCAUUGUAAGCACAUCCAUUUCCGUCAGCGUACACACAGCACACUGGACAGCGGCAAGUAGAUGAUGAGAGCGGAUAACUGAAGAUAUCACUGCGAUCAGUUCAAACCCCUGUCACUCUGAGCUCUCUUGAUGAGACCUAACAAGGUGGAAACGCCUAGCUGUCUGGACACUGAGUUCGACACACCUGUAGUGAUAGCACAUGCCAGCUGCUAUUCGGCCUUAUCUGGAGGUUACGGGAGAAAGGUGUUCUCCUGCAGUGUUACUCCAGCAGGACUGGCUGCUAGUAGCUGAUGUCAAGAACUGACACUGGCUUCUAAUGGGAGAUUGAGAAAGUCAAUUCUGAAGUGCUCAUUUCGAGAUCGCUUCCGUGUGCCACCACACGCUCUGUCUGCGGGA